ensembl:lncRNA
AUGUUGUCUUUUCACUCUCUUAACAGGACUGACCUCCCACCCGCCCACAAGCCGGCCCCGCCCCCACCCAAAAAGAAGAACAGCGACAUGAAAGGACACCUGACAUCGGAUGACAUCCAAGUGGUUCACUUGGACAAGGAGGACGAGAUGCAGAAGCUUCCACUUCAACCUCCUUACUAUGACAUGGCGCCCUCUGAGACCACCCCCUUCACUGAUAAGCCGGUAAGUAGAAAUGAUCAGCAGCUCGUCUCUGUGAAGAGGUCGUCACACCGCUGUUCCCUGCUGAAGGGAUGAGUCUUUGUUACCUUUUAUGGCUGGAAGUCAAUCGAAACGGACGCAGCUUAAAGACCCACUCCGAUGGAAAUGGUCUUUUAAACACGUUCUUGUGGCAUUUUUUUAAGAAAAUUGAGCUUAAAAUUGCAUGUCUGAUUAUUUCUCUAUUAAAAUGAAUCAGGAGCAGACAAAAAAUGCUGUUUGAAAAAGCAUCUGUGUCGUAGAAAAUAGAUUUUGUGGGCCACCAGGUCGUGGGUUUAUCUUCUUUUUCUGCAGCUUCAAUUUGAACAAAGCUAUAACUGUAGGCGUGUUUAAUCGUAUGGAGUGUACCGAAACUUAAGCUUACAUUUUUAUAUAUUUAGUGGGUCGACAGGGCUCUGAAAUCAAACAUACCUUUGUUUUGUUUUCAAAUUAUGCUUUAGCAGCAUUUUGAAUUUGAUCGUUCUUUGCCUUGUCUCUCGUUUUUAGCCAUCCACUUGUAGACGACUAGAUCCGUGUACAUCCAUGUUUUCCUCGUCUGAACUGCCAUCUGGAUGAAAACUAUACGGCUGCAUAGCUCCGAUAUUGCUCGUCGUCUUUGUUGCGCCAGUAAUGUUAGGUUGGGGGUGUGAGGGGCUGUAAGCUAGUGGGAAAGAGUGUAAACAGAGCAACAAGGAGGAAAAGGGGGGCGGGAUUGCCCAUUACUUGCCCAUAACGCAAAUGAACUCCUGCCACUCUGCAGAAACUCUGUCCUAGAAAACGACAUAAGUUUUUGGAUUUGGGCUAAAAAUGGCAUAAAACUGGAAACGCUUUUACAAAAGAUCAAAAGCUGAUCGGAGUGGGUCUUUAAUUCGGCUUGCCGACCAUCUGCAGGGUAUUGUUGACGAGGCUCCUUCCCCUCGUCGUCUGCAUCAGCACCUCUCACCUUCCUCCUAAACGAGGCCAGCCUGCAUCCUUUCCUCUCGCCGUGCUAUCUUUCGCUCUGACCCCGGCGCUCACCUCUUCGUCUGCCCUCAGCCUCUUCUCUCCUCCAAUCCGUCUAAUCCACAGUAAUCACACACCGGUUCGCCUGGCUGCUGUGUGCAGAUGAAUUGCAGUGCGAUGCUCUGGAACACAUUUGCCCACCCCUGUGAGUUCACAUUUGGCUACAGUGUUUGUCCGGCGCUUUUGCAAACCGUGCUGCGCUUGCUGAGACGGUGUUGUGUUUACUGGCUGUUGCUGGAGUUUCUGCUUUUGGACAAAUAACUGUGCGUGUGGAGGGCGUGUGUGGGCUGUGUGUGCAUCAGCAGAGAGCAAAAGCCUUUCAACCGGGUGUCUGCUUAAUGUGAAAACCUCCUGGAGGAAGCAUGUGAGGGAGCUGAAAGGCUUUCCUUUGAAUUAGUGAGUCUACCUGCCAUGUUAAUGACUGUAAGAGGUGUCAGGCUGCUUGGAACAAACAUCUCCUUUUUCGCUGCAGAUGGUGAAAUGUGGGUGGCUCUUGUCUGUCAAAAUUUUUGACAUCCCGCCUCCCUGGAUGCCAACAUUUGCUAAAUCUGAGCCCAAGAAUGAAACAAAAUGAAAAUUAGCUUAAUUUUGACAGGAAAAAAGUUCAGAUUGCUUCAUUUAAAAUUAUGGAGGAGCUGCACAACUGCUAAAAGAA